rnacentral:rRNA from 1 species
AACAGAUAUGAUCUCGAAAUCCAGAGAAUUUGGCGGUACUUCAGUCCUGUUAGAGGAACCUGUCCUUGAAACGAUAGUCCACGAAAAAUCUUACUCUGACUUGUAAAUUACAGCUUGUAUACCGCCAUUAUUAGAGGAGUCCUUUAGGAGUUUGUUGAGGUGGGGUGAAGCCUAGUAUAUUAGGUCUUGGUGCAGUCGAUGUUAGAGGGAGAGAUGGGUUACAAUUAUUUAGGUAAAUGACGGACGGGGCACUGGAAGGCGUCCCUGAAGGUGGAUUUAAUAGGAUAAUAAGUUUAAUAUGUUAGUUUGAUAGGGGCUCUGAGGUAUGUACAC